rnacentral:rRNA from 1 species
AGCGCAAGGGCCGAGUCCGGUGAUGCUAAGUCCGUGAAGCCGCCCGCAUCCUUCGGGAUGUGGUGCCGGUGGAGCCGACGGCCCGAUCCGGUAGUAGGUGAGUGAUGGGGUGACGCAGGAAGGUAGUCCAGCCCGGGCGGUGGUUGUCCCGGGGUAAGGGUGUAGGGCGCCAGGCAGGUAAAUCCGUCUGGCACAAGAGCCUGAGACCUGAUGCCGAGCCGAUGACGGUGAAGUGGAUGAUCCUAUGCUGUCGAGAAAAGCCUCUAGCGAGUUGCACGGCGGCCCGUACCCCAAACCGACUCAGGUGGUCUGGUAGAGAAUACCGAGGCGUUCGGGUGAACUAUGGUUAAGGAACUCGGCAAAAUGCCCCCGUAACUUCGGGAGAAGGGGGGCCACGUCCGGUGAUCCGUCUUGCACGGUGAGCUGGGGGUGGCCGCAGAGACCAGCGAGAAGCGACUGUUUACUAAAAACACAGGUCCGUGCGAAGCCGUAAGGCGAGGUAUACGGACUGACGCCUGCCCGGUGCUGGAACGUUAAGGGGACCGGUCAGUCAUCCUGCGGGGUGGCGAAGCUGAGAACUUAAGCGCCAGUAAACGGCGGUGGUAACUAUAACCAUCCUAAGGUAGCGAAAUUCCUUGUCGGGUAAGUUCCGACCUGCACGAAUGGCGUAACGACUUCUCGACUGUCUCAACCAUAGGCCCGGUGAAAUUGCACUACGAGUAAAGAUGCUCGUUUCGCGCAGCAGGACGGAAAGACCCCGGGACCUUUACUACAGCUUGAUAUUGGUGUUCGGUUCGGCUUGUGUAGGAUAGGUGGGAGCCGGUGAAGCAUGCACGCCAGUGUGUGUGGAGGCGUUGUUGAAAUACCACUCUGGUCGUGCUGGAUGUCUAACCCGGGUCCGUGAUCCGGAUCGGGGACAGUGUCUGGUGGGUAGUUUAACUGGGGCGGUUGCCUCCCAAAGGGUAACGGAGGCGCCCAAAGGUUCCCUCAGCCUGGUUGGUCAUCAGGUGGUGAGUGUAAGUGCACAAGGGAGCUUGACUGUGAGACUGACGGGUCGAGCAGGGACGAAAGUCGGGACUAGUGAUCCGGCGGUGGCUGGUGGAAGCGCCGUCGCUCAACGGAUAAAAGGUACCCCGGGGAUAACAGGCUGAUCUUCCCCAAGAGUCCAUAUCGACGGGAUGGUUUGGCACCUCGAUGUCGGCUCGUCGCAUCCUGGGGCUGGAGUCGGUCCCAAGGGUUGGGCUGUUCGCCCAUUAAAGCGGUACGCGAGCUGGGUUUAGAACGUCGUGAGACAGUUCGGUCCCUAUCCGCUGUGCGCGUAGGAGUCUUGAGAAGGGCUGUCCCUAGUACGAGAGGACCGGGACGGACGAACCUCUGGUGUGCCAGUUGUUCUGCCAAGGGCAUGGCUGGUUGGCUACGUUCGGGAGGGAUAACCGCUGAAAGCAUCUAAGCGGGAAGCCUGCUUCGAGAUGAGGACUCCCACC